rnacentral:rRNA from 1 species
UGUAAAGGGUGCGCAGGCGGGCUSRUAAGUCGGGGGUUAAAUCCRUGUGCUUAACACAYGCAUGGCUUCCGAUACUGYSAGUCUAGAGUCUCGAAGAGGAAGAUGGAAUUUCCGGUGUAACGGUGGAAUGUGUAGAUAUCGGAAAGAACACCAGUGGCGAAGGCAGUCUUCUGGUCGGUACUGACGCUCAGGCACGAAAGCGUGGGGAGCAAACAGGAUUAGAUACCC